UUUCCACCAACAUAAUAAAAGGAUUCUUGUUAUUUGAUGGAGCAAAAUGGAACAUGGUUACAAGCCAAGCAUGUGCACACAUCUAGAUGAAACAUGAAGCAGUACAGCCAAAUUAAGACUUGGCAACACUGCACAUCUGCCUUUAUCCAUUGAUUAUUGACCAUCUUUAUGGUUUCAUUUAGACAAACACAGAUUUAAGUGGAGGAGGUUUUUCUUCACGAGUCAGUCACAGGAAGUUGAACCAAGGUCGUUGUUGAGUUUCUGGGUGGCUCAAGUCUUCUGCACCUCCGACAGGAUUUCUUCCAGGAUUGUCCUGUAUUUAGCUUCAUCCACCUUCUCAUCAACCCUGACCUCUGAACCCUUUGUACAACAUAAGGGUUGUACAAAUACAUUACAUCUGGCCUGGAGUUUCUAUGCAGCUGCGAUACUUUCUUGUGUGCGUGUGUGUGGGCGUGGGCGUGUGUGUGUGUGUGUGGAGGACAUGGACUGAGCAAGUGCUGCCAACAACUUUAUCCCUCUAAAGAUGAUCCACUGUCGUUCAGUGUUUAACUCUGUUGGUGUUCUCGACAAAACUAUUGGCAGAGUCUUUGCUGUGACUCACUGUAUGUGCUCUCUUUCAAUUUCUCUUUCUCUCUGAAAAUUCAUCUAUGUAAAAAAAAGGGAGCAAUGAUAACAGGAGGGGGAGAAAGGAGCUGUUG